GUGUCAGCAGCCGCGGUAAUACGGGGGGAGCGAGCGUUGUCCGGAUUCACUGGGUUUAAAGGGUGCGUAGGCGGAUCAGUAAGUCAGGGGUGAAAUCUUACGGCUUAACCGUAAAAUUGCCUUUGAUACUGCUGGUCUUGAGUGCAGUUGAGGUGGGUGGAAUGUGUAAUGUUGCGGUGAAAUGCUUAGAUAUUACACAGAACACCGAUUGCGAAGGCAGCUCACUAAACUGCAACUGACGCUGAGGCACGAAAGCGUGGGGAGCAAACAGGAUUAGAUACCCUGGUAGUCCACGCUGUAAACGAUGAUCACUCGCUGUUGGCGACAUACAGUCAGCGGCUAAGCGAAAGCAUUAAGUGAUCCACCUGGGGAGUACGUCGGCAACGAUGAAACUUAAAUGAAUUGACGGGG
rnacentral:rRNA from 1 species